rnacentral:lncRNA from 1 species
AGAGAGCCUUCAGUAUGUGGGCCGCCCUCCUGUCAGAACAGUGUUUGUCGUCUCCUGCUAUCUUACGAGCAAACAGCCAUGUUGUAAAUGGCCUCUGAGGAGGACUGGCCUCUAGGAGUUGAGGACCUCAAGCCUACAUCUGCAAGGAAUUGAACGAUGCCAAGAACCCGAACAAACUCUGAAGAUGAGAAUGCGGCCCUGUGCCAAGACUGGCUGCCUUCCCCUGUUUCUGUACCACACUGGUUCCUGAAGCUAUUUGAGUUUGAGACUGCUGGGGUAACCUGACCCACUUCAAGGAUCUGAAAGUAUUUUACAGUUGGUUGAAUCCAUGGAUGUGGAACCCAUGGAUGUGAAGGACUGACUGUACUUUGCACUAGUGGUUCUCAAAGUGUGGGCCCUGGACCAGUGGCAGCAGCAUCACCUGGGAACUUGUGAGAAAUGCACUUUUCAGCUCCUGUUUCAGAUGGACCUAUCAGAAUCUCUGCAGGCUGGAGUGCAAUGGCGUGAUCUCGGCUCGCCGCAACCUCCACCUCCUGGGUUCAAGCAAUUCUCCUGCCUCAGCCUCCUGGGUAGCUGGGAUUACAGG